UGAUCCUGCUCCUCUUCUUGUCCUCUUGAGGAAUGCUUUCCUGUUUGUUUUGACCACUCUACAUUUGCUGGGAUGAGUAUAGCUGUAUAUGCUCUAUCUUGGCAUGGGGAUCAAUUUAGCUGUUUUACUAAACCUGUUUUCAUCUCAGCUCCCAGAUCUUCUUUUCCUAGUCCCUUUUCUUGUCUGGGGAAGGGUCAUCAGGUGCUAAAGCCGCUGCUAUAGAUCAGCUCUAGCUGUGGGCUAAAUGUAGACACACAUGAUUUUAAACCUGAAUCAUCCUCCCAUCUCCCUCCUCACCUGUCUCUUUCCUUUCAUUAUCUCUAACAAGGCUUUGAUGGAGAGGCUCCAUUUACUGAAGUGCAAAGAACCAAGUAACCUGUGCCCUUGGAGACACUGCUGCCAUGCAGCACUGGUGAUGGCAGCAGCACAGGGCCAUUUUGCAAGCUGUGAUUCCCUGGGGUGGCCUCUGAUUCCUGAAUGCAAAUGCUGGUCUAUGAAGACUGACACUGAACAUCCACAGAAGGUUUUCUGCUUGCUUAACCAAACCUGGCUUUCUGAAGAGGCAUCUUCUUGCAACACUAGAGCUGGCGGUGUGAAGAAUGCGCCACCUCUAGACGGCUGUGCUGGAUGAUCACAUGCAGAAGAACCUUCCUCUUCAGAAAUCCCUGUGCCCGAGUACACUGAUCAAGAGUAAUCUAAUGGUGAAAUAUAAGAAAGCCACCUCCUUGUCCUCAUCCACAGAAUCACGUUAUCUUCUAGUUUUCCCUGUGUCAACAGAGCAUAUUUUGUUGUUGUGAAACCACUUGAUUGAGAUAUUCCAAUGCAAGCACUGAAAUUCAAGUCCACAGACUGAGGGAAAGCCUCCCCUGGACUGUGCUCAUGCCAGCACACAGCUUUUCUCAGCUUGGUUUUGUGCUCAGAAGACACUGGGUUGUGUGCUCUGCAGGAAGUCCUGUAUCCUCCAAGUGAUGAGUUAGCUUACCCUGAUGGAAGUGAGUAUAACCAGACAGGCCCCAUUCUGGUCCCAGACUCCAGUUUUACUUUGCUCAGAUGAAACAUUACAACUUGAUGUUCUUUCAAUACUUUGGAGUGAAGAAGGAGGGAGAGGAGUCCCCACAAUGGUUUUUUACAUGCCUGAGUCAAAUUACCCUCCCUUCUGUAGGGCUUCUUCUGAAAUAACAGAUCUUACUGUAACCAAAUAUUGCCAUCCAGGAAAGCCAUUUUGCAACCAGCAAGGAGGCUUCUUCCUUCCCAGCAGCCACUGAAAAGACCCUUUGUUCUCGGGGCUGAACACCUGGAGAGUGUUAUCAGCAGUGGCCUCUCCAGGCCUGAGCACUGAGAAGUUGCGACAAGACCCAAUGGCAUUGGCUGCAGCACCUGGGAGCUGCUGGCACCCAUAAGCCAUCCCAUCCGGGCCAUUGUGUGGGCACCUUUGAGUUGUCCCCCUCUUCCAUGGGGACCAGCAAAACUAGCCCGGCCUGCAUUUUCUUUCUUUUCCUCUCCUAAAAUGAACAUCCUCAGUCCAAAUGGUUUUUUAUACAACCUUGAGGAGGUGACACCUCUGUAGAGAAAGGAGAACAGGCUUUGACAAUUACUGUGCCUCUCUGGAGAACCUGGUGACAUGAGUGGAGAAGGGAUGACACGGUACCAGCAUCCUGGGCACGUGCUUUGAAGCUACAUCUUGAGGAGUAAAAGGUGGGACUGCUGACUGGCAUCAGGGGUUGAGAGAAUCACUUGAUGUGACCUCAGGACUAGACUGCACGCAAGGUUGGCCUUGGGUACAGCUUUCUGCCCUCUCUGUACAGUGAGCACCACAGUCUACAUCCUUGAAAAGAUAGUCAGAAACUCUUCUGCUCAGAAAUUCAAGGCAACUCGGCUCAUUUGACCCAGAAGGUAACUCCCUAAGGACAGAGGGUCCUUUUCCAUACACUUGGUGGUAGAACUGAUACAAAGCACCACCAUCAGGCACACUGGCUUCAAAAACCCCCAAAUAUUUUAUUCCUUCUGCUGCAUUUUACAAGAUUAAAAGCACAAUCUGCGUGAGGGGAGGAAAACUGGAGAGUCAGAACACAGGAGCUGUCAGGUGCAGAUCUGCUGUGGGGUAACUUGGAGAGUUGCCUGCACCAGCUGAGUCCAUGCUGAAUCUGUGAGGAUUUUACCAGUGGCUGCAGUGGAAAUUUUAUUUGUAUCUGCAGCUUAGGAGUUAUUUAGCAGGUCCAGGCCUAAAGGCCUUUCUCUGCUUAUUGAUUUUCCACUGAAGUCACAGGCUGGACAGUCUACGUCACCCACCCCCCCAAAAAAAAAACCCAAACACAAACAAACCAUGCAACCCACAUUGUUAUUUUUCCUUCCCUGAUAAUCCAGACAAAAUGCUGACCCCUACAAGGGAGUUGGACUUUGGGGGAUUUCAGCAAUGUCUCAUUGUAGGAUGCACAGCUCUGCAAAAUAUUAGAUCUGGAAUGGUUCUGCCAAAUACCAAGAGCAAAUUGCAUAACGUGAGAAGGGCCAGACCGCAGCUGAAGCUUCACCCUCUGCUGUGGCAGCUCAGCGUUUGUGUCGCAGCUCCUCCACACACAAUGGCAGCACUUCCAUUUUCUUUGGACUGCAGCAGUGAAAGAUCAAACGUUUCAAAGAGGUCGAGCGAGACCUCUGAGUGCCAGCGCUGAAUCCCUGUGAGAUUCAGCUAAACUGACAAAGCAAUGUCCUGCAAAAGCUUUACCUGGGACAAACCACAAUUUCUGGGUUCAUGUUCAGGCAGUUUGUAGUGCAAAGGAUACUUUAAACCUUGGUCUCUGUCCAGGCACCAGUACCGGCUCUCCCAUGGCUUUACGUUUGCAUCUCUUUCUAAUAUCCUUUCCUUUCUUCCUUGCAAAGGGAAAAAUUCCAGGUUAGUUCCUUUCAACUUUGUGGUAGCACUAUUGACAGAAGGAUUUAGUGUCUAUUUAGUGUCUUUGCAAGGGAAAGGGAGAAAGUUCUCGGUGACAUAAAAGUUUGUAUCAAACUUCAAGAAUCCGGAUUAAUUAUAGGAGCCUUGCCUUGUAUCAUUCAAUUUGUUUGAAUAGCUUUAAAGAUUAAGCAGAUCCAAGGCCUAGCAGAACCAGAGCCAGUAAGACAAUAGCUGAGAUUUUCCUUUGAAACAAAAUAUACAGGUGGCUUCUGUGAGUUUCUGUGUCUAUCUGCCCGGCUGUUUUAUUUUUAUGCCGUAUCCAAUAUCACAGAACCUGGCAGUAGAAAUCAUAUAGCAAUUUGUGAAAGCUUGUUGCUGUUCUAGAUAUCAUAUAGUCUGUUCCACACCAGCAAAGACAAAACCAAUGCCUUUACUCCUCGAGUUUUCAUUCAGAGGAUAAUGAUCUCUGGUAACAAAAUAUUUGGCAGUAGCAUUAUUUAAAAUGCACAGAGGAAAUGUUUGUCCCUAAUUCAAGGGGCUGUGGUCACACAGUCUCUAUUCACUCGGUAUUUACCAAUGAAUGCCAAAGGCUAAUCUGCAAAAAGCCCAGGAACAGAGUUAUGUUUAUCACACUCCAUCCUUAACCCAUCCCAUUGUAAGAGGGGGGGAAAGUAAUUAUUGAAUUUCUUUGUGGCCAGAAAGCUUAUAAACUGUGUGUUAUACCCGGCAGGCUGUAACGGCUCCUUCGGUAAAUAUCUAAUUAAGUGGUUGGGGUGUUGGUUUUUUCCCUUCACCGCAUACUUUUGUGUUUUAAAAUCCCUUCGCAUUAAACAACUUCUCGAGUUUUCCAAA